ensembl:misc_RNA Metazoa_SRP Metazoan signal recognition particle RNA
GCUGGAGAUGGUGGCACACGCCUGUAGUCCCAACUACUUGGGAACCUGAGGCAGGAGGAUUGCUUGAAUCCAGUUCUGGGCUACAGUGGGUUGUGCUGAUCAGGUGUUUACACUGUGAUUAGCACCACGAUGGUGACCUUUCAGGGAGCAAAAGACCCGCAAGUUUACCUAUGAAGGGGUGAACCGGCCCAGGUCAGAAACGGAGCAGGUCAAAACUCCCACGCUGAUGAGUAGUGGAAUCACACCUGUGAAGAGCACUGCACUCCAGCCUGGGCAACAGAGUGAAACCUUGUUUCU